ACUUGAAAAAAAAACUGGGCCGGAGAGGGGAGAGAUGGAGUGAGGGGCAAGCAGACGACCUCGCCGCCGGCGAGGGUUAUGGGCAGGAGAAUGCUUCGUCUCUGGCCAAUCCCCCCACCCCCUCCCACCCGUACAGCGACUGUACCGCCCUGCCCGGCCAAGUCCCCCCUCGCUCCCCGCGCCCGCCGCGAAGUGGAUCCCCCCGGCGCGACCCGGCGGCGACGACGAGAAAACAAAACCAAAGGAGAGCCCACUAUUUGAAGCAGAAAACUGAAGCAAGAGAACUUGGUUGCCUGGAAUUGCACAUGGAGGUCCAUGAAUGUCCAAGUGAUUGGAUGUGCAACUGUGCAUGCCGGGAAAAUAAUUGAGCUUCAGCAACCACGAGAAGAAUAGCAUUGACUUGAGAUGGCUUGCGGUCCUUGCUCUCUCUAAGACAGUAAACUAUUUUGAUCAUCAUACUACUAAACUGAGAUUUCCACCAUACUUGCUAUGGCAGGUGCUUGGCUCCUAGAAUGAUCGAAAAGACAGGGAGCAAUAGAUGAAAGAGUUUAAGUACAUAGAGGUGGACAAGAAUAUAGCUGUUCCUUUGGAUUGAUGCUCGCUCUGUCAAAACAUUCCUUUUAAUCUCUAUCCUAAAGCAAGCCCACAAGGAGGAGGUCACCAGCACCACAAGUCCAGAUCUACAUCGAUUACAGGUCAGGUUCGCUGCCCUUAAUUUGGUUUUGCUCCUGGGUAGCUAGGUCGAUGCUAAUCGAUUACAGGUCAGUGCUGUUCUUUAGAUCUGAUGGGUACCUCAAGUUGAAGAUCGAAGCCAACUACUCUACUUGUCAUCAACAACAAGCCCAGCACACUUUCAGCCACACCCAUGACUCCAUGAGGGUUCAGGAUCUCCAUGAUUCGCAAAUGCACAAGGAGGUCGCCAACAUGGAUCGGAUCUAAGCCAUUUCGAAGCAGCACCAGUAAGCACGAUAGAGAUUUCUCUUGGAAGGACGAGCUUCUUAAUUUGUGACGACGCCAAGGUCUGGUGAGCGGGAAAUGGCCAUUCUAUUGAUAUUUGAGUAAGUAUACAACUAGGCAACCACCCAUCAGAAGCCAGGUAUGCUGGUGCUUCUUUGGUUUUGAUGUGUAAAAGGAAGGAGGAUUCUUCAAGUUGAAGAUCAAAUCCAGCUACGUUUCAUCAACAAAAAGCUAGCACGCUCUCAGUCGUACCCAUGGCUCCAUGAGGGUUCAGGAUCUCCAUGGUUAAGCUUCGAUGACAAGUUGACAACCUCAACAGCCAAGUCAUGAGGUCCCUAGUUUUUUGUGAGGAUCCA